rnacentral:rRNA from 1 species
CUACGGGAGGCAGCAGUGGGGAAUCUUGCGCAAUGGGCGAAAGCCUGACGCAGCCAUGCCGCGUGUAUGAUGAAGGUCUUAGGAUUGUAAAAUACUUUCACCGGUGAAGAUAAUGACUGUAGCCGGAGAAGAAGCCCCGGCUAACUUCGUGCCAGCAGCCGCGGUAAUACGAAGGGGGCUAGCGUUGCUCGGAAUUACUGGGCGUAAAGGGAGCGUAGGCGGACAUUUAAGUCAGAGGUGAAAUCCCGGAGCUUAACUUCGGAACUGCCUUUGAUACUGGGUGUCUUGAGUGUGAGAGAGGUAUGUGGAACUCCGAGUGUAGAGGUGAAAUUCGUAGAUAUUCGGAAGAACACCAGUGGCGAAGGCGACAUACUGGCUCAUUACUGACGCUGAGGCUCGAAAGCGUGGGGAGCAAACAGGAUUAGAUACCCCGGUAGC